UCUUUCGUAGGUUAAAUUUAAACUGUUAGCUUGUGGAGCUGGCGAUUUCUUGGAACGGGGGAA
rnacentral:tRNA from 1 species